UACGAAGGGGGCUAGCGUUGCUCGGAAUUACUGGGCGUAAAGCGAGUGUAGGCGGUUUGGUAAGUCGGAUGUGAAAGCCCCGGGCUCAACCCGGGAAGUGCACUCGAUACUGCCAAGCUAGAGUAUCGGAGAGGUUGGUGGAAUUCUCGGUGUAGAGGUGAAAUUCGUAGAUAUCGAGAGGAACACCGGUGGCGAAGGCGGCCAACUGGACGAAUACUGACGCUGAGACUCGAAAGCGUGGGGAGCAAACAGG
rnacentral:rRNA from 1 species